UGCAUUUGAAGCCCAUGAGGAUGAGAACCUCCGGGGGCGGGGAGGUUCGACUCGAGUGAAGCGAGAGAACGUUGCGCCAGCAACGGCCCGCAGGGCGAGCCACGAAGUGGCGAGUAAUCCUCUAUCACCGACCA
rnacentral:sRNA from 1 species